rnacentral:lncRNA from 1 species
CAGAGCCGUCGAUCCCCGGGAAGGGGGGGGAGAGGACAAAGCGCUUUUCACGGUGGCAACAAACCGCAGACUGUCCCGAGGGCAGGGAGGCCGAACAACGGCCGGGAGCCGCCUGUGCCACCGGGUGCCGGGGGGCGGCCGUGCCGUCGCUGGUGCCAUCCACGUGCUGGUGGUACCGGAGCAUCUCCGCCGUCACCCCGAGCUGCGUGCCGCGGGUGGCUCCGGGGUGAGCACGGGGGGCUGAGAUCGAAGUCUGAGUCGGGGCUUUGCCGUGCCCUUUGGUGACAGCGGUGGCACCGUGCAGGUGACCCGGCCAUCUGGCUGCAGGAAGCACUCUCUGGGCGCGUGGCUCCUGCCGGGGGGAAUAAUUGAGGAAAUGGGAGAUGCUGCCCGGCUCCUGGAGCAUCCCCACCCCACGUGUGGGCAGGGCAUCCGCUCACGCUGUUCUGCCAUCCCCAGGGCCGCUGGGAGCGGGGCUGGAUGGGAUGGAUCCCGAGGACGGCCUCAUCCGAACGCUGGUGCGGCCACGGGGUGCGCGGCGUGGGAACGUGCGGCGGCCAGGAGGGUGGAGGAGGAUCCGCCGGCCCCGGCCACGGCUGUCCCAUAAGGGCCCCAUGCCCUUCUGAUGGAGGACCACCGCCAGCGCUCCAAGGAUGCAUCCCCACUGCCUGCUCUGCUCGUCCCUGAGCCGGCAUCACCUCCCUGCAGCUGUCCCUGGUGGCUCUGGCACCGUGUCCUCCCAGUGCCCCGUGCCCUGAUCCCGGUGUGCCAGGUCCAGGGGCUCUGCAUAAAGCACUUUGUCUGGCGGAGGAGCUCUCCGUGGGGCCCUGCCCCAUCCCCUCCCGGAGGGGUCUAUUUAUUCCUGUGAUGCUGACUCCGUGUGAGCUGCACUGUGGGGUUCCCGCCCCCCGGGGCUCUGCAGGAAGCACUGAUGUACCCUAAAAGGGCUGCAGCGGUGCUGGGUCCUGCUGGUCACCGUAUCUGUCAUGUCUGUAAAGAAUUGUUCUGUGUAAAUACAUCUUUAUUAUAAAGAGC